rnacentral:rRNA from 1 species
GAUGAACGCUGGCGGCGUGCCUAAUACAUGCAAGUCGAGCGAACAGACGAGGAGCUUGCUCCUCUGACGUUAGCGGCGGACGGGUGAGUAACACGUGGAUAACCUACCUAUAAGACUGGGAUAACUUCGGGAAACCGGAGCUAAUACCGGAUAAUAUAUUGAACCGCAUGGUUCAAUAGUGAAAGACGGUUUUGCUGUCACUUAUAGAUGGAUCCGCGCCGCAUUAGCUAGUUGGUAAGGUAACAGCUUACCAAGGCAACGAUGCGUAGCCGACCUGAGAGGGUGAUCGGCCACACUGGAACUGAGACACGGUCCAGACUCCUACGGGAGGCAGCAGUAGGGAAUCUUACGCAAUGGGCGAAAGCCUGACGGAGCAACGCCGCGUGAGUGAUGAAGGUCUUCGGAUCGUAAAACUCUGUUAUUAGGGAAGAACAAAUGUGUAAGUAACUAUGCACGUCUUGACGGUACCUAAUCAGAAAGCCACGGCUAACUACGUG